UUGUGAGGUUAAGCGACUAAGCGUACACGGUGGAUGCCCUGGCAGUCAGAGGCGAUGAAGGACGUGCUAAUCUGCGAUAAGCGUCGGUGAGGUGAUAUGAACCGUUAUAACCGGCGAUUUCCGAAUGGGGAAACCCAGUGUGUUUCGACACACUAUCAUUAACUGAAUCCAUAGGUUAAUGAGGCGAACCGGGGGAACUGAAACAUCUAAGUACCCCGAGGAAAAGAAAUCAACCGAGAUUCCCCCAGUAGCGGCGAGCGAACGGGGAGGAGCCCAGAGCCUGAAUCAGUGUGUGUGUUAGUGGAAGCGUCUGGAAAGGCGCGCGAUACAGGGUGACAGCCCCGUACACAAAAAUGCACAUAUUGUGAGCUCGAUGAGUAGGGCGGGACACGUGGUAUCCUGUCUGAAUAUGGGGGGACCAUCCUCCAAGGCUAAAUACUCCUGACUGACCGAUAGUGAACCAGUACCGUGAGGGAAAGGCGAAAAGAACCCCGGCGAGGGGAGUGAAAAAGAACCUGAAACCGUGUACGUACAAGCAGUGGGAGCCUCUUAAUGGGGUGACUGCGUACCUUUUGUAUAAUGGGUCAGCGACUUAUAUUCUGUAGCAAGGUUAACCGAAUAGGGGAGCCGAAGGGAAACCGAGUCUUAACUGGGCGUUAAGUUGCAGGGUAUAGACCCGAAACCCGGUGAUCUAGCCAUGGGCAGGUUGAAGGUUGGGUAACACUAACUGGAGGACCGAACCGACUAAUGUUGAAAAAUUAGCGGAUGACUUGUGGCUGGGGGUGAAAGGCCAAUCAAACCGGGAGAUAGCUGGUUCUCCCCGAAAGCUAUUUAGGUAGCGCCUCGUGAAUUCAUCUCCGGGGGUAGAGCACUGUUUCGGCAAGGGGGUCAUCCCGACUUACCAACCCGAUGCAAACUGCGAAUACCGGAGAAUGUUAUCACGGGAGACACACGGCGGGUGCUAACGUCCGUCGUGAAGAGGGAAACAACCCAGACCGCCAGCUAAGGUCCCAAAGUCAUGGUUAAGUGGGAAACGAUGUGGGAAGGCCCAGACAGCCAGGAUGUUGGCUUAGAAGCAGCCAUCAUUUAAAGAAAGCGUAAUAGCUCACUGGUCGAGUCGGCCUGCGCGGAAGAUGUAACGGGGCUAAACCAUGCACCGAAGCUGCGGCAGCGACACUAUGUGUUGUUGGGUAGGGGAGCG
rnacentral:rRNA from 1 species